ACAGCAGGCUUCCGGUCCCUGUUGCAUGGAUGGAGAGACGGGCAGGAAGGGGCUUCCUGCAAUGAGUCAGGGGCUAGAGCUGGCACCAUCCCAGAUUUCCUUUUCUGAGGCUCUGAGAGGUUAAAGCAACGUAUGUAAGGACGCGCAGCCUAGUCCUUGUUCCAACAGGCUGGAGACAACAGGGGAGGCAAGCGGCUUAGAACUGUUCUCCAAACAAGUGCCCCAGCGCGUGCGCGCCCACGUAAGGCUGCCCAGUUUUCCAAGACAGGGUUUCUCUGUGCAACUGCCAUGGCUGUCCUUGGAACUCACUCUGUACACCAGGAUGGCCUCGAACUCACAGAGAUCUACCUGCCUCUGCCUCCCAAGAUCUGGGGUUAAAGGCAUGCACCACCGCUGCCCAGCCUCAGGGUCCUUUUGAAACCAGUGCCUACAUCCUCCAAGAGGAGGCCUGUGGCUGCAUGGCUGAAGUCUGGCACCAUCUGAGAUUCCCAUUCGGUGACUGAGGGGAACUGUAGCUGUACGGCUGGCUGCCCUGUGUGCCUGAGACCCUGGGUUCCAUCCUCAGCAACAACACAAGGGAACAAAUACCAAAAUGGGGUCCUUGUUUGGUACCUGGAAGCUGAAGAAGGAAGUGGCAUCCAGAGGCUUCUGUGGGAGAUUCAUAGUUCUUGCAGGUCUGGAUGGAAGCUGUUUCCCCCACUUCCUUUAUCUGGGUGAGGAGCCACCAGUGACUUGGUCAAACUUUUCACUAUGUACAAGUUGCAGUCACCCUUCAGUCUCGGUUUGUAUGCUCAGAAGGGGCAAAGGAGGAGUCAACACCUGUUACCUCGUGUUAAUCCUCAGGAUGAACAUCCUAAGAAUGUUUGUAACUCCCUCAACACAACCCGGCAGUGGAGGGGCGCUACUUUCACCCCACAUUAUACAUGAAGACACUGAGGGUCAAGAAGAGCCCUGUGCCCAGGCGGUAGUUGGAGGCUGGGAGAGACUGACCCAAGGUCAACCCAAGGUCAACCCAAGACUGACCUCCCUUCAGAGCUCAGCCUCUCAUCCCCAAGCUGGAUGACCUCUAGCUGGAGAUGCAUGGAGAGCCCAGAGACAACUGACCUUGAAGAAUUUUUUUUUUAAGUGCUGAAAAUCCAACCUAAGCUUUCAUGCACGAAAAGCAAGCC
rnacentral:lncRNA from 1 species